rnacentral:rRNA from 1 species
AUUGAACGCUGGCGGCAAGCCUAACACAUGCAAGUCGAACGAGGGGCGGACGGGUGAGUAAUGUCUGGGAAACUGCCUGAUGGAGGGGGAUAACUACUGGAAACGGUAGCUAAUACCGCAUACCAUCGGAUGUGCCCAGAGGGGAUUAGCUAGGAGGUGGGGUAAAGGCGACCCUAGGAGGCGAUCCCUAGCGGGUCUGAGAGGAUGACCAGCCGCACUGGCACUGAGCCACGGUCCAGACGCCUACGGGAGGCAGCAGGUGGGAAUAUUGCACAAUGGUCGCAAGCCUGAUGCAGCCAUGCCGCGUGUAUGAAGAAGGCCUUCGGGUUGUAAGGUACUUUCAGCGGGGAGGCGUUACCCGCAGAAGAAGCACCGGCUAACUCCGUGCCAGCAGCCGCGGUAAUAC